UACAGAGGGUGCAAGCGUUGUUCGGAAUUAUUGGGCGUAAAGCGCGUGUAGGCGGCUUUGCAAGUCGGAUGUGAAAGCCCUCGGCUCAACCGAGGAAGUGCGUUCGAAACUGCAGAGCUUGAGUGACCGGAGAGGGUGGCGGAAUUCCCCAAGUAGAGGUGAAAUUCGUAGAUAUGGGGAGGAACACCGGUGGCGAAGGCGGCCGACCUGGACGGUCACUGACGCUGAGACGCGAAAGC
rnacentral:rRNA from 1 species